UACGUAGGGUGCAAGCGUUGUCCGGAAUUAUUGGGGCGGUAAAGAGCUUGUAGGCGGUUUGUCGCGUCUGCCGGUGAAAUUUCGAGGCUCAACCUCGAACUUGCGGUGGGUACGGGCAGACUAGAGUGUGGUAGGGGAGACUGGAAUUCCUGGUGUAGCGGUGAAAUGCGCAGAUAUCAGGAGGAACACCGAUGGCGAAGGCAGGUCUCUGGGCCACUACUGACGCUGAGAAGCGAAAGCAUGGGGAGCGAACAGG
rnacentral:rRNA from 1 species